rnacentral:rRNA from 1 species
AAUAGAUACCCCGGUAGUCCACGCCGUAAACGAUGAGUGCUAGGUGUUGGGGGGGUCCACCCCUCGGUGCCGAAGUUAACACAUUAAGCACUCCGCCUGGGGAGUACGGUCGCAAGACUGAAACUCAAAGGAAUUGACGGGGACCCGCACAAGCAGUGGAGUAUGUGGUUUAAUUCGAAGCAACGCGAAGAACCUUACCAGGUCUUGACAUCCCUCUGGAUCCCCUAGAGAUAGAGGCGGCCUUCGGGACAGAGGAGACAGGUGGUGCAUGGUUGUCGUCAGCUCGUGUCGUGAGAUGUUGGGUUAAGUCCCGCAACGAGCGCAACCCUUGAAUUUAGUUGCCAGCACGUUAAGGUGGGCACUCUAGAUUGACUGCCGGUGACAAACCGGAGGAAGGCGGGGAUGACGUCAAAUCAUCAUGCCCCUUAUGACCUGGGCUACACACGUACUACAAUGGCCGGUACAACGGGCAGCGAAGGAGCGAUCCGGAGCCAAUCCUACCAAAGCCGGUCUCAGUUCGGAUUGCAGGCUGCAACUCG